UUCGGUAUCCUGUGUUGCUUACCUAUCGAAAGGAAUCCGAUGGUUUCGUUCGUCCCUUUCCGCCCCCCGCCCUCGCGGGUUGUGGGGUGGACAUCAGGCAAGCCUCGUGUUCCCGGCACGCUUCGCCCAGCUGCGUCGCUGCCUCGGCCCAUGAGGUGCAUUGCCCGUGCUCUCGGAUGCGGAAUGUUAUGUGCGGGUGCGGGGUCUAUUUAUUAGCUCCGUUUGCCCAAGCAACGCAUUUGUCCAUCGACACGAACGACUGCCGUGCCCGUCUUGAGCCCGCGGCCGUACGGCCUGCCGGGUCUCAUGCGGGCGUCGG
rnacentral:misc_RNA from 1 species